rnacentral:rRNA from 1 species
CCUACGGGGGGCUGCAGUGGGGAAUAUUGCACAAUGGGCGCAAGCCUGAUGCAGCCAUGCCGCGCGUGUGAAGAAGGCCUUCGGGUUGUAAAGCACUUUCAGCGGGGAGGGAGGCGUUAAGGUUAAUAACCUUGGCGGUUGACGUUACCCGCAGAAGAAGCACCGGCUAACUCCGUGCCAGCAGCCGCGGUAAUACGGAGGGUGCAAGCGUUAAUCGGAAUUACUGGGCGUAAAGCGCACGCAGGCGGUCUGUCAAGUCGGAUGCGAAAUCCCCGGGCUCAACCUGGGAACUGCAUUCGAAACUGGCAGGCUAGAGUCUUGUAGAGGGGGGUAGAAUUCCAGGUGUAGCGGUGAAAUGCGUAGAGAUCUGGAGGAAUACCGGUGGCGAAGGCGGCCCCCUGGACAAAGACUGACGCUCAGGUGCGAAAGCGUGGGGAGCAAACAGGAUUAGAUACCCCGGUAGUC